rnacentral:rRNA from 1 species
GACGGACGCUGGCGGCGUGCUUAACACAUGCAAGUCGAGCGGAAAGGCCCUUCGGGGUACUCGAGCGGCGAACGGGUGAGUAACACGUGAGCAACCUGCCCUAGGCUUUGGGAUAACCCUCGGAAACGGGGGCUAAUACCGAAUAUUCACUCUCCGGGGCAUCUUGGGGGGUGGAAAGUUUUUCGGCUUGGGAUGGGCUCGCGGCCUAUCAGCUUGUUGGUGGGGUGAUGGCCUCCCAAGGCGACGACGGGUAGCCGGCCUGAGAGGGCGACCGGCGAGACGGGGACUGAGACACGGCCCAGGCUCCUACGGGAGGCAGCAGUGGGGAAUAUUGCACAGUGGGCGGAAGCCUGAUGCAGCGACGCCGCGUGAGGGAUGACGGCCUUCGGGUUGUAAACCUCUUUCGACAGGGACGAAGCGUGAGUGACGGUACCUGUAGAAGAAGCACCGGCCAACUACGUGCCAGCCGCCGCAGUAAAAC